AGUAUUGCUUCUAAGAUACAUCUCAAAGUCAUGCUUCAAUCUGGUAUUUAAGCGAUAUCAUCUUUAUGCACAUAUCAUAUAUAUAAGCUGGCUGUUUUUAUUUUUAUCCUAAUUUUGUGAAUUUUUUUCGAAAGCUGCAUUUAGCUAUACUUUAUUUUCCGCCCUAUAUACGCACACCUGAGAUAAUAUUUACGAGUGUGUUAUCGAUUGUUUCUGUUCGAUUUCAUAUCAGUAAAUUCACGUCUUCCGAAUAGUCAAGUUCUCGUAUUCCAUCACGAUCAACAUAGAAAUGUGCCAAUAUCUAGCGUAGUUUAAGAAAAGAGCCACUCUCAACGCUGAAGUAUUAGCAUAAGCAAAGUUGCAAAAGGAUUGGAUAUUGGUGAAUCCCAAGUUUGGAGGUGCCGUUAGACCCAUGCUCAACAACCUCCAGGCUAAAAAGUGAGUGGUACACAUAUUUAGAGAGUGAAAUUGGAGAAUUUAUCAAGAGAAGAAAGUAGAAAGCUUUGCUUAUCAGGGUAGAAAAUAUUUAGCAAGCAGAUCUCGGAUUAACAAAUUUUUGAAACGACCAAGAUUUCCGCUUCGGUGCUGAGUCAACAUACGCCAGAAGUUUCAAUCGAACCUAAAUGUGUAGACUAUCAAUGCUAUAUUGUGCCUUUGCAACGGAAAUUCAACUUUCUUGCAGAGGACAUUCUAAUAACACCUGAUCAUCCUCGUGAUUAUAUAGGCGCAAAGCAAGAGAUUAUAAUGAAAAAGGCAGGUGACGAGAAACAAUGCAUGACAGUUUGGGACAGACCUAUGUGUCUGGAUUAUUGAAGACCGUUGCAGAACAUUUUAGCUUGUCGUAUUAUGUUGCGUUGGACUAGUGGCAUGGCACGUUUUGAUCACAUCCAAAAUGAG
rnacentral:lncRNA from 1 species